rnacentral:pre_miRNA from 1 species
UUCUGACGACAUCUUUACCUGACAGUAUUAGAGCGUUCAUCUCUUCAAUCUAAUGCUGCCCGGUAAGAUGUGAACAGA